UUUUGGAUCAUUUUAUUAAAUUCAAAAAGAAAAACAAAAGGUCAAAGCCCAAGUUAGUACAACUAAAAAACACAGGUCCAAUAAAUAAUCCGUUCUAAAAAAAAAUAUGAAAAGUUUUCUUAAAGUAGUACAAAUACUCAUUGUUGUCCAAGAGUACUUGGUACUCUUUAUUUCUCUCCAUCCUUUCCUUUGUGGAAUGUUCCAUCAAAGCUUGAAUCGGUGGUUUGAGUUUAUCCCCAAGGGAUUGAAGUGAUGUGAUGACAAUGUUCAAUUUCUUGAAGCUUCAUAAGUCCAUCCUUUCUCCUGUUUUGUCCACUUUCUGAUACUCAUCUGUUCGAUCUAUGAAAUGUUUCUUGUUUCUCUACAGAUGUUAUUGUUUCAUUGAUGUUCUCUUCUAUGUCAUUGCCAAGACUGGGUUAUUAUGGUGGGAGGUUCCAUUUACCCUUGUUUGUGAAGGUUUUUGGUAGCUAGGUCCUCUAGCUAGGAUUAGCAUAGUAGAGUCAUCUUGCUGGCAAAAAGAAUUAUUUUUGUGCUCGUGUUUAUUCCUAAUUCCCAUGGGAUUGUAAUUAUUAGAACCCUUUGUUGCUAUCUUUAUGAUUAUUACUUCUUCUCAAUCA